rnacentral:rRNA from 1 species
CCUACGGGAGGCAGCAGUGGGGAAUAUUGCACAAUGGGCGCAAGCCUGAUGCAGCGACGCCGCGUGAGGGAUGACGGCCUUCGGGUUGUAAACCUCUUUCAGUAGGGAAGAAGCGAAAGUGACGGUACCUGCAGAAGAAGCGCCGGCUAACUACGUGCCAGCAGCCGCGGUAAUACGUAGGGCGCAAGCGUUAUCCGGAAUUAUUGGGCGUAAAGAGCUCGUAGGCGGUUUGUCGCGUCUGCCGUGAAAGUCCGGGGCUCAACUCCGGAUCUGCGGUGGGUACGGGCAGACUAGAGUGAUGUAGGGGAGACUGGAAUUCCUGGUGUAGCGGUGAAAUGCGCAGAUAUCAGGAGGAACACCGAUGGCGAAGGCAGGUCUCUGGGCAUUAACUGACGCUGAGGAGCGAAAGCAUGGGGAGCGAACAGGAUUAGAUACCCUGGUAGUCCAUGCCGUAAACGUUGGGCACUAGGUGUGGGGGACAUUCCACGUUUUCCGCGCCGUAGCUAACGCAUUAAGUGCCCCGCCUGGGGAGUACGGCCGCAAGGCUAAAACUCAAAGAGUAGUAGGACGUGAGAGUCGCGACGACGGCCACGACGGAGGGUUAGG